rnacentral:lncRNA from 1 species
AUGAACUCUAAACCGACAGAAAGCUCUGAGACAACAAAAGGAAACAGUGAGAAACAACCCGAAGCAUCAGAAGUGAUGACCAAAGAUAGUGUUCCGAACGAAAGCAGUAACACAAAGAAAGCCACAAAGUUGAAAAAUUCUGCCUACUCCUUGUCGAGAAGUUCACAUUCAAGUUCUGAGAGUGAUGAUGAAGACUCACCAUCAGGAGGAGAUAUAGUACAAGCGAAAAAUGAGAAUGUGUUGUUAUCACAACAUGAUUCUGAGGAUGAAUCCAUAGAUGCUGAAAUGCAGCAACGCGAUAGUGAAUACACGGUCGCAACUGUCGCACAGACACAUCCUGUACCUGAUUCCAAAUUCGGUGGAUUAAAGAAUGAUGUACAGUCAUCCACAAAAAGUCGAGAUGAAGACUCUAGUGAUGAAGGUCCUACUCCUCGGCCAGGAACCAUUGCUGAGCGAGAACAUAAGAAGUGGGAAAAGGCAGUUCCAUUAGCUAAUAAUCCAUACUCUAAAGAAAAUAUUGACAAAAGACUUAAGAGUAAUUUCAUUCUCAGUAAUCGAGCGAACUGUGAUACACCCCUGGAAUUCAUCUCAGAACAAACCAUUCACGUAGGCAGCAAUUUACCUGACAUGAAAAGAUACAGCAGAGACUUUUACAUUAACACUGACGAAGAUCAAAAUGAGGUAAGUCAUUUAAGAAAACAUUUUUAUGGCGAUUUAGAGAAAUCCAUUGUGCAUUCUGAUAUCGAUCACUUAGCUUUUCGUGCUCAGCAUUCCACACCGCACUUCACGAAGAACCCAAUGUUUGACGAUAGUGACCUGGACUCGCUGCCGCUGAGAGAAAACAGAUCAUCGCCUUCAAGUAAAAAUGUAAAUAGUUUGGAGUCAGGAUACGCCAGUUCCGCAGAUUCGAGAACAUCAAAUCCGGAGUCAAAGAAUCCGAUGCCCGAGAGAAGAAUUUCACAAGAAACAAAAACUUGUGAAGGCUCACAACAGGUUUCUGUGAGAGUGGAGGUGGACGUGUGGCCUGCAGAAAAAAUAAUACAACACCAAUCUACGACAUCACCCGAUGAUUCGCCUCAAGUCUCCCCGAUCAUUCAAACGACUGUCAACAUGAACAAGAUGAAUGGAUGCCGGCAAGAGAAAGAGUUUGAGGUAGUUGAAAAACCAGGGGUGCGAAUCAGCUCUUGGGUUGAUAAUGAGAAGAAAACGGAUGAAUUGGACGAGUGCCACUCUCUACCGUCGGUCAAGGAAUUGGCUAAACACUUUUCGACAGGGGAUAAAAAUGAGAAAAACCAUACGAUAGUGAAGCCGACGCCUGUUGUUCCAGCCAUUCCUAAGAUGUUUGAAAUGAAACACAACUACCCAUCAAACAGGUACGGUCUUAUAAUAUUUAGGUACUAUUUAAUUUUUGCACACUUUGAAACUGUCUACCCAGAUCGAGAUAAAACAAAGCCACAAUGGAAAACAUGAGAGAAUCCACAAAAUAAGAGGCGGAAAAAACAAAAAACAAAGGCAUUUCUUUUAGCUGUAGCCCCUGAUGUCAGUUUCUUCAGGACUCAUAAGCCUGAAGGCAUGAGAAAUUACAAAUUUAAGAGAAUAAAAAAUAAUUCAACAGAUGCAAGAUGAGCACUCAUCAUGGGCGGAAAUAAGGGGGGGCCGGGGGGGGCCUGCCCCCCCCCCCACAAUGCUGCUCGGACCCUUCCAAAAAAUGUCAAGGACCCAAGCUACUAUUAAUUUUGUGGUAAAAGGCUUAUGAAUGUAAUAAUUAUGAGCUUAAUCCUAAUAUAUCGAUCAAUGAUGUCAGAAAAAUGAAUAUUACUUGCAAAGAGAGCAGCUUCCUCCAAGUAAAGAACGUGGAAUGUAGUUUGACUGUAUCCGAUUGUGGUUCCUCGCGCAUUUUAGCGCAACACUUGUUUUCAUGAGAUUUAAAUUAAGAUAAAAUCAAUUAAAACCCACAGUAAGAUACGAUAUUUUCAAAAACAAGUCAGCAAAAUUUAAUAUUUAAUUCCAUUUAUUUUGUCAUUGAGAAUGGCUUUAAAUUGCUCUCAGGACGUUCAAAUUUUCAAAAAUUUUCCGGGGGAGGCCCCCCGGACCCCCUCUGCAACUGGGGGAGUCCCCCCAGACCCCCCUUAACCCAAGUUCUAUAUCCGUCUGUGCCCCCCCCCACAGAAAAUUCCUAGUUCCACCCAUGGCACUCAUGCACCCCGUAAAAAAACCCAUUAAUGACCUAGGGGUUGAAAUGGCUCUUAAGACUUGUCUCCCCCAUUUAGUGGCAGAGCCAACUCAAAUACCUUGCUAAAAACUGUGCCAUAGAACUGUGUUACAGCCAAGAGAAUUCGUUACAGAUUUCUGACAGAUAAAAUUGAUUAAAACACAAAAUGUAUCAAUUUCUAAUGAAAUGCGAAUUUUGAUAAGCACAUUGCACAUUUCUCUGAUACACUACUGGUCACUGAGUUAAGACUUUGAAUCCGCAACGAUAAACUGACGUUAUCUCAUCAUCAAUAUAAAUGAUCAUUUAAAUGAAAAUUAAUUUCAAUGAUUUUAUUCUGCUUCUUGCUGAGGCAAAGGAAAAAACUGCCCUCAAAAACCACAUGAAUCUUCCUAACUUG